UGACUGAAUUCAGCACCAUCUAUUGUUAUGUUGGAUCGUUCACAGAGCACGCUGCAAAGCACCGUGCAGUGAGUUAGAUCAAGGUGAUAACACUUCAGAGAGGUGGGUGAUGGCUGCUGUUGUACCAACAAGGAGGGCAGCCCUGCUAGGCAGCCUGACAGCACAGCUGCGGUGUUCCCACACCUGUGUGUAGCAGCAUGGGUUAGAGUGGCACUUGUUAUGGGGCCAGGCAGUUUGAUGUUAGGAAAUGGCUAGUGCGUGGAUGGACGGGUUUUUCUCAUGGUCCUUUUCUUCCUUUUUAUAAUAGAAACACUAGAUGAGUAGUGGAGGAACUGUUUGGACAUAUGUAUUUAACUGGGAGGAAAGAGCUGUGACGCUAACCACAAACUGACGGUUUCCUGCUGCAAAAAAACAACUCAGCAAUAUGAAGUAAAAACAAUGAGGGGAAAAGAAGACUUCAGUCUUUGACUAAAGCUGAGAGUUGGAGAAUUAGAGCCAAAGAUUUCACAGGAAUCUACUAUUAAGAUGUGGAAGAGAAGCUAUCUACAAAGUGAAGGCUCUGAACGCCGUGCUCCUGUGAUCUGGUGCUGUUCCUGAGGGCUUCUGAAAAAUUAUCUUUAAAGGCAUGUUGAUGUGACUCUGUAAGUGUAUUGGUGAGUAAUUUCACCUGCAUUCAUAAUGAACAAGCCUCGUUAAUACAGUUACUCAUGUGCCUAAAUGUCAGUUAAGGGAGCUUUGAAAUGUGGAGCUGAGAGGUUCUGCCCGUGGGUCUCACAGGCUGUGAUGCAUCCUGUGGUUCAGUGCCCCUGAGCUGGCGCUUCCAGGGCAGGGCAGGAGCUGACCGUGGCUGGUGGAAAGCAUGAAGUGCUCGCUUUGCCUGCUGCUGAUCAGUGCACGGCAUCCUGUUUUGGACUUGCUGAGAAAUGAGCUGAGAACCAGGUCUGGUGGGCUUUAUUACUGACUGGUGCUAUGCAACGUGAUUAAUGUUGGCUUGCUGGGAAGAAGCAGUUACUGGCAACUGUGUCACCUAUUUCUGCUGGGUUUUGAAGAGACCUUUUCCUGGUAAAGAUUUUUUUUUUCGUUACCUUUAUCAAAACAGGAUAUAAAACGAGAGUAUAAUUCGCUGCUAGAGAGUCCUCAUUUACCUCGAUACUAGGGAAAUAUCUCUUCUUUCCAUAAAUCAUUACAUUUAUAGGUGUACAACAGG
ensembl:lncRNA